rnacentral:rRNA from 1 species
AGCAGCCGCGGUAAUUCCAGCUCCAAUAGCGUAUAUUAAAGUUGUUGCAGUUAAAAAGCUCGUAGUUGAAUUUUAGGCCUGGCCGGGCGGUCCGUCUUUGGCGAGUACUGUCUGUUGUCGGGUCUUCCUUCUGGUGAACCAAUAUUUCCUUUAUUGGGUGUGCUGGGGAGCCAGGACCAUUUACCUUGAAAAAAUUAGAGUGUUUAAAGCAGGCUUUUGCUUGAAUAGAUUAGCAUGGAAUAAUAGAAUAGGACGUUGUGGUUCUAUUUCGUUGGUUUCUAGGACCACCGUAAUGAUUAAUAGGGAUAGUUGGGGGCAUUAGUAUUCAAUUGUCAGAGGUGAAAUUCUUGGAUUAUUGAAGACUAACUAUUGCGAAAGCAUUU